rnacentral:lncRNA from 1 species
UCAAUACUGGAGGGUGCUGCGGAGGGAACAUUGACAUAAGGGCAGGCAGCACUCAGCUCCCAGACCUGCACUGUGAUCCAUCUGUCCUGCAGAGAACUGGCUCUGCUUCUUACAAGUGCCACAUAACACCUGGAGGGCUAUGGUGGCAUUCACUCAAACCCCAUCUGGUCAAGGAAGAAAUGGCAUAUUCUCCUUAGUGCUGCUCUCUCCACACCUUUAUGUCAGACCACUUCUGUGCCAGGGUCUGCCAG